rnacentral:rRNA from 1 species
CGUAGGUCCCGAGCGUUGUCCGGAUUUAUUGGGCGUAAAGCGAGCGCAGGCGGUUUGAUAAGUCUGAAGUUAAAGGCUGUGGCUCAACCAUAGUUCGCUUUGGAAACUGUCAAACUUGAGUGCAGAAGGGGAGAGUGGAAUUCCAUGUGUAGCGGUGAAAUGCGUAGAUAUAUGGAGGAACACCGGUGGCGAAAGCGGCUCUCUGGUCUGUAACUGACGCUGAGGCUCGAAAGCGUGGGAGCGAACAGGAUU